rnacentral:tRNA from 1 species
CGGGGCGUAGCGCAGCUUGGUAGCGCACUUGCAUGGGGUGCAAGGGGUCGCAGGUUCAAAUCCUGUCGCCCCGA